UUGACCUCAAAUCAGGAAGGACUACCCGCUGAACUUAA
rnacentral:rRNA from 1 species